rnacentral:rRNA from 1 species
UGGGCAACCUGCCCUCAGCACUGGGAUAACUACCGGGAAACCGGGGCUAAUACCGGAUACGACCUCGGUGGGCAUCCACUGAGGUGGAAAGCGUUAGUGGCUGAGGAUGGGCCCGCGGCCUAUCAGCUUGUUGGUGGGGUAACGGCCUACCAAGGCGACGACGGGUAGCUGGUCUGAGAGGACGACCAGCCACACUGGAACUGAGAUACGGUCCAGACCUCCGUACGGGGAGGCA